rnacentral:misc_RNA from 1 species
GACCCAUCGGCCCAACACUUCAUCGUUGGCUCCUUACGCGACCGUACUAUCCACGCCGUAUCCGAUGCGGGCGUCGUCGAAAUUCUCAUCUCCGAUCCCUCCCUCCCUCCAAACGCCAGCUUUGUGGGCCUGGCAGUAGAUUCGGUCAAUAACCGUCUUCUUGCGGUUAUCCACUCCUUAGACCCACUCCCCCCCUUCAACGCCCUCGCCGCUUACG